rnacentral:rRNA from 1 species
AGAGUUUGAUUCUGGCUCAGAACGAACGCUGGCGGCAUGGAUUAGGCAUGCAAGUCGAACGAGGUAGCAAUACCGAGUGGCGGAAGGGUGAGGAACGCGUGAGCAAUCUGCCCUCCAGUUGGGAAUAACAGUUGGAAACGACUGCUAAUACCGAAUGUGGCUCGUUGGUCGCAUGACUGACGGGCUAAAGAUUUAUCGCUGGAGGAUGAGCUCGCGUCCCAUUAGCUAGUUGGUGAGGUAACGGCCCACCAAGGCGACGAUGGGUAGCUGGUCUGAGAGGAUGGUCAGCCACACUGGGACUGAGACACUGCCCAGACUCCUACGGGAGGCUGCAGUCGAGAAUCUUGGGCAAUGCGCGAAAGCGUGACCCAGCCAAUGCCGCGUGCGGGAUGAAGGUCUUCGGAUUGUAAACCGCUGUCAACCGGGACGAACACAAUGACUGUACCGGUGAAGGAAGCCACGGCUAACUACGUGCCAGCCGCAGC